GACGAACGCUGGCGGCGUGCUUAACACAUGCAAGUCGAGCGGAAAGGCCCUGCUUUUGUGGGGUGCUCGAGUGGCGAACGGGUGAGUAACACGUGAGUAACCUGCCCUUGACUUUGGGAUAACUUCAGGAAACUGGGGCUAAUACCGGAUAGGAGCUCCUGCUGCAUGGUGGGGGUUGGAAAGUUUCGGCGGUUGGGGAUGGACUCGCGGCUUAUCAGCUUGUUGGUGGGGUAGUGGCUUACCAAGGCUUUGACGGGUAGCCGGCCUGAGAGGGUGACCGGCCACAUUGGGACUGAGAUACGGCCCAGACUCCUACGGGAGGCAGCAGUGGGGAAUAUUGCACAAUGGGCGGAAGCCUGAUGCAGGAACGCCGCGUGCGGGAUGACGGCCUUCGGGUUGUAAACCGCUUUCGCCUGUGACGAAGCGUGAGUGACGGUAAUGGGUAAAGAAGCACCGGCUAACUACGUG
rnacentral:rRNA from 1 species